AAUAUAAGGAAAUAUUUGAUUUAUUUUCAUUCAAGUAAUAUUUUCACAUUCUCUUGUAAGUUUUUUAUUUAAAAUAAACCUGUUUUUCAUUUUAUACCGUGGUGAAGACGAUUAUUUAGAUGCGCUAUUUGAAUGAAAAAUGAAACUACAAGUUUAGAAAACAAUGAUACAUAACUAGCAGUUGCUUCUCCGAACAAGUAGAUAUUGAAGUCAUAUGUUGUACUACAGCGUGUGGGUCUUCAAAUGGAAAAAAUAAAAAAAUAUUCUACCUCAACAAUACAGCAACAAUUCGUUUGUUAUAAAAACUAUUUGGUUAAAAUAUCACACAAUGACAAUUAUUAAACAAAUAUAACAUUAGUAUAAAUAAGCAUUUGUAAUAGAUAAAAUAAAUAAUUGAGCAAAGUUAUAAUUCUAAGUGUCUUAUAAACUAAAACCAUGUGCUUUUAGAAUUCUAUAUCUAUUCUAAAUUGAUUCAAAACAUCUUCAUACUUAAAACAUUAAUGUUGUCGUUUGAAGUGGGUCUCAUUCGAAUUUGUUCUGGUAAUGGUAAUGUGAGGAGAUUUUUUUUCAGAAUCGGAUUUGUGACAGUUGUUUAAAAAUUCACGGAUAUGUUGUACAAUCAAAUCAAUGGCCACUGUAAAAAAAGAACACAGUUAAGUUUUCUGGAAAUAAUUUAUUUUACUGUUAGUAUUGACAAACUUGUAAGAAGACGUUAGUAAAAAAGUUUACGUAAGCUAAGUAUAGUAGAACAGUAUCUCAUCAGCAGUAUGCUGUAAACGAUAACAUUUGUGCUAAUAAAUUUUGAUGCAAAUCACAGCAAUAUGUAUUAAAUUCAUUGUAGAUGUAGGGAAAUGUUUAUUCUUAGAACAAAGUAUCACAUUUCUGUUCCCAAUAAGUUCAACUGAAAAUAUGUUCGACAUAACACAUAUUUGUAUCUUGUAGUUAUGUGAAUGGAGGUACAGUACACAAAAAUAAAAUUAACUCGUUUUAAUAGCUGAUUGAAAAAGAAAAAUGAAGGGUUACAUACACAGAGUAUGUGAUUUGGCAGAUAAACGAGCUAAUUUUAUCUCUUUGAGAUUCAGUGCAACCUAACGCUAAAUGUAAUUUACGAGGUUCCAGUCGAAUAAGUGGAACUUUUACAAAAUCACUGGAUGAAAUUUAUUCAUAUACACACAUUUCAUAUCUUAAAGAAUCUACUCUGUAACAUAACUAAGAUAUGGAAAUUUUUGUUAAUUCUAGACAACCAGACUGGCAUUGCCUUUACAAAUUAUUCAUAACGCUAUAAAAUAGAAGAUGCAAAUGAUGCAUGCACCGUAUAAACAAUUGCGGCAUGUAAAUGAUUACUUUCUAACAUCAAUGUAAAAUGGUUUCAACGAAAUAUACAAAAGGAGUAAUACACAACAUUUAGCUAUCUAAUUUGACAAUAUAUUAAUAAGACGAAUUUGUCUACUUCAGUAUUUGACAAUCUUUAUCAGUAGGUAGCUAGUAUCAUUUUCCUUGUUUAAAUUAUAAAUUAAAGUAUUGAAAACGAACAAUAUAUAAACAAAUAUUUGUUCGAUUUGACUUAAAAAAUGCAGUAAACAAUUGUGUUAACUUAAGGAACAAAUAAAGGUAUAUCUGCAAAACUACAGGCUAUUAGAAGUGUAGUUUCAGAGCUUUUGUCGAGCUAUCAACAAUUAUUUUGUGCUGUAUUAUUAAAUGCCCAGUUAAUACUUUGCAAUGUGCAAUAUUGUUUAAUGUUAUAAUGAACCAUUAAGUAUGCCAUUCUUCAAUAAUGGUGCAGGUCCCAUUUUUUUCUCAUGGGGAUAUGGAUUUCCAUGUAAAAUAUCCCAGAUGUGGUGGACUAUAAGGUCAAUAGCCACUGUAACAAAUACAAAUGUAGCAGCCAAUAGCGAUUGAUAUUGCUUUAUCACAUCUAAAUUAUCUUCUUGUACCUUAUUCUAUGAUGAAAAUGAAAUAAUAAAUGAAAAAUUUAUUAAAUAAAACUGUAGCAGUGUGCUAUUAUUUGCACAUGAAUAAUAAUUAAGGUGACUUCUAAUAGUAGUAGAUGUUUGCUGAAUAUGUAUUUUUUCUAAUUAGUUAUAAAUCAAUAUUCAGAAAUGUUCAGUUGUUCGAAUAAUUCAGCGUCUAUCUUAAAUAAUAACUAAAUAUCUUACAAAUAAUAUUGAAAAUACUAUACAGUACCCCAGUAGAAGGCGACUCAUGCUACUGACUAAAGCAUAAAAGUGCCUUUUUUACUAAAAGGUCUGAUUAAAUUUCAUUCCAGCUUUCAAGAGAAGUAUCUGUAGCUGAAUAAAAUUUGGGUCUGGUUUUAAAUAGCUGCCAAGUGAUGGGUCAAAUUUAGUACACUCGGACGGACAUUAUUUUGUUGCACUUAACCUGGUCUCAGUUAUAUAUGAUGAUUUGUUAAAUUGAAAGUUGCUAUAUUAAAAGCAUGCUCUUUUA